GUGUCAGCCGCCGCGGUAAUACGAAGGGGGCUAGCGUUGCUCGGAAUUACUGGGCGUAAAGGGCGCGUAGGCGGAUAUUUAAGUUGGGGGUGAAAUCCCGGGGCUCAACCUCGGAAUUGCCUUCAAAACUGGAUAUCUUGAGUUCGGGAGAGGUGAGUGGAACUCCGAGUGUAGAGGUGAAAUUCGUAGAUAUUCGGAAGAACACCAGUGGCGAAGGCGACUCACUGGCCCGAUACUGACGCUGAGGCGCGAAAGCGUGGGGAGCAAACAGGAUUAGAUACCCCAGUAGUCC
rnacentral:rRNA from 1 species